UGCCAGUCUAUCAUUUUACUUCACUGAUGACCCCUGAACAGAUUGUCAGUGCCCUUCCCAACUUCAUGUGUUUCUUUAUUUCAUUGCUCUUCCUCAUACAGCUUGCCCCCACACUCACAGCUUGGUGUGUAUAUUAUAACAAUGUGUUUCUUUAUUUCAUUGCUCCAGGUGUGUCAUGUUCACUCAUCAUUCACAGAUAUCCGGCCCUUCUUCAUACAGCUUGCCCCCCUCCCCUCAUUCACAGCUUGGUGUGUUGCUAUCAUUACUAUGUGAUUCCUUACUUCACUGAUGACCCCUGAACUUCAUGUGUUUCUUUAUUUCAUUGCUCCAGGUGUGUCAUAUUCACUCAUCAUUGACUGAUGACCCCUGAACAGAUUUCCGGCCCUUCUUCAUACAGCUUGUCUUCCACCUUCACAGUCAUGCUGUGUCAUAUUCACUCAUCAUUGACUGAUGACCCCUGAACAGAUUUCUGGCCCUUCUUCAUACACCUUGUCUUCCACCUUCACAGUCAUGGCACAACACUCAGAAGUGCUGUGAGUUGCAUGACACCUGCAGAGGCUCCAUACUACAGACUACUACUACUCGGUACUACAGAAACCGGAUCACUUGACAAGCCUGUGUCCUGUUUUGGCCUUCCACACUCUGUAGGAUUGCAUAGGCUCCAUUUCUUCUCCCACAUCACCAUUCCAAAACAACUCCAGAUGUUUCGUUUGUAUUAUGGCCAGUUUCUUUACAUCUGUUACACUACCUGUGUUUUGCACCCAAAACUGGACUGCUCUAUCUGUUUCUUGUUUUUUAUCAUUAUCACUUGCAUUGCUGUAAAUAUGUUCCAUUAGCUCAGUUUUGCAACUAUGAAGUGUACAGUUUUGUUGUUGUAUUACUGUUACGCUGAGCAAAAAGAAACCUCAAACCUUACUCUUAGGCCUAUGUGAAUUCUUCAUGCGUGUCGUGCUCUGUCAACAGUUUGAUGCUUACAAAGCAUUCCAAGUGUCUGUAUGAUGUUCUACCAUUAUGCUAUGCCUUCACACAGUUAAUAACAAAAGGUAUACAGUAUUAAAAAUGCAUAUUCACACUAGGUUAUUGUCUAACUUGGCACCAUAGCAGUGAGCAUCCAGUGUAUUUCUGUGUUCAAAACAUACAUAAAUACAUUAAAAAAAAAAUUAAUUGACCCACUCAAGUACUGGUUAUACAGUUGUUGUCUUUUUUUAAUUAUAAUUUAUUUAGUCCACAUGACAGAUCCAUGGCCCUGCUCCAUGCCACUGAUUCAGAGUCGUGUGUAGGGACUACACGUCUCUGCCCUGAUCCUCUUCACUCUGCCUGCAUGCAACGAUGCAUGUUUUUGGCAGGUCUGAUGCAGCCUCAUAAAGGCUAAAGCUGGCCUGCGUCUCACUGCUAGAGAUCUA